AUUUCCUGUAUUCACGGCCGUGAGGAGCAGGUGUUGCAAGGACAGGAACACAGGCUAUGGAAAUGCAGGAUUAUUAUAACAAUCCAUAUUUUUUAAGAGAAUCUGCCGCCCUCAACUGGCCUGCGCAGAAUGUGUCACCACAUCCGUCUCAUGCCCGAUUCUUAAGUGACCUUCAGCAAGCACUCACCACUAACAGGCACUCAGUUCCACAGCUAAUAGGGGUUGAGACUGAAGCCAGAGAGUGUGACUCAUAAACAGUAUUAGCUGCUGUUCUGUAGCCUCGUACCGGGAAAAAGCAAAAGGCUACUUACAGAUUGACUUGACAGAAUAAAUAAAAAUAGUUUCCAUUGGCAGAUGGAUCCAU